GAUUGUUCUGUGCUCCACAAACUAAAAUAUCAAAAGUUACUUUGAUCCAGGCUACAUUUCUUUCAACAAGACAUUAGACAGUUUGUGUGGGCAGUGUUGACCAUACCCAAAACUCCAGGUUUGUGGGGCACAUGACACAGACUAGGCCAAUUGGAGAUUACCCUGGGACUUGUGCCAGAGUUUGUUUUGAAGAAGUGUCACUCCAUUCUCUUGGAUUGCUAGCUAAUAUCAUUAUCCUCAUCUUUAAAUUUUCAAGAUUUAGUCAUCCAUCAAGGCCUUAUUGAAAACUGCCUGCUCUGUGUUUACCAUCCCAAUACCUGAAGCUAAAAUGUUGUCAUCUUCCUCUGAGCCAUUAUAGCAACUUGUUUG